AUUAUGAAAAGUUUAUUUUGCUCUCAUAUAAAAGAACCCAUUUUCACUUUCAGAUGUGCACAAACGAACCCCACGAAAGUCUUCUUUCCCUUUCACUUUCACUUUCAGAGCUCACCCAAGAAGACUUCUUUUCCUUUCACUUUCAGAGUUCACCCACGAAAGAUUUCUUUCGAAGAGGAAAGAAAACAAGAGGAAUAUUUUCUUUAUUUGUGGUAUUUUCUUUCUAUUUUCAUAUUUCUUUCAGAUUUCUUGUAUUUUCUUUUAGAUUUCUCUUAUUUGCUUUUAGAUUUUCUUUCAAAUUUCUCAUAUUUCUUCUAAAAAAAGAAAACAAGAACAAGAGCCACUUUCAAAUUUAUCUUGGGCUGCCCUAGCGCGAUCUCUAUUGAGCUGCAGCAUUCAAGGCAAAAUGACAGAGGCAAAACCAUAUGUCCCCUUGAUCCCAACCUUGUCAUCAUGUAACCUCCCAGAUUUCAGGGGCUUCCAACAUGCAAGUUUUUUAGGUGGGUAAAUUAUACUAAUGCCAGAGAGUCAGAACUUGCAAACAUAAAGCUUCAACUUCAGAAAGGGGAGAAUAAAGUGUUGAAGAGAGUCAGGCUCAGAAAAGGGACUGUUUUUAUGAAGCUAAAAAUAGGCUUAUUGAAUGAGAUGUUGUGUAAUGCAAUUUUUUGGAUGAGAUGUUGUGUAAUGCAAGACUUUGUUUAACCUUCUACUUUGUGAAUGAGAUGUUGAAUUCAAUUUUUUGGGGAUUCAGGCACUACUCAUCAGUGAAUACCAUUGAGGUCUUUUCUUUUUC